AGCUCUCAUUGUGACGUCUCGCCCAAAAUCAUCCCCAAGAAAACUCUUUUAGAAGCACUGGAAGGUGUGGAAAACGAGAUUAAGAAACUUGGAGAUGACUUACUUCGAAAACGAUUGGAAAACUUGCGCGGACAAGUUUAAGAUCUUUUGGAAUAUCAGGAAAUCCAAAAUAAAAAUCUUUGGGACAAAAUAAAUAGUUUAAAGAAGGAAAUGGAAAGCCAGAAAACCAAAAAUAAAAAGUUACAAAAGGAUGUGGAAAGCCAGAGAACCGAAAAUGAAAAGUUACAAAAGGAACUUGCUGUAGUCGAGGCAACGUGGCUGUGGGAAGCACAUUUGGCAAGAUUUGUAGUCGACUCUUCAAAGGAGAUCUACAGAAGCGGCAAGUUUAGUCAAAUGGAAAAGUACCUGAGGGGAUUAAAAAACCCGAUAGGCAAUCGUUGGAAUGAAAUACAACGUAAAUUAACAAAUUGGACAGACGAACAUCAGAAAGUAGUAGACAUUCUAAGAAUUGAGAGAAAUGGCAAAGUACAUCCAUAUUUAAGCGAUCUCGAUCUUGUAGAAUCUGAAAUAGAAAC